GAGAGCACACGAGUGGGAGAGAGGCAGAGAGGGAGAGAGAAUUCCAAGCAGGCUCCGAGCUAUUGGUAUAGAGCCCAGCGUGUGGCUCAAACCCACGAACAGCGAGAUCAUGACCUGAGCCGAAGUCAACAGUUGGACGCUUCACUGACUGAGCCACCCAGGCACGCCAAGGCUCUUACUUUCUUAAUAGCUUUAUUGAACCAUCGUUGACACAUCAUGAAGUUACUUGUUUAAAGUGCACAACUCAGUUGUUUGCAGCAUAGUCAGAAGGUUGUGCAACCAUCACUCCAGAAGGAAGCCCCCUGUAGCAACCCCUCCUCAUCACCCCCCGCAUCCCACGUCCCCCGGCCCUGGACAUGUGCUAACCUACGUCCUGUCUCUGUAGAUACACCUCUUUUGAAUGAUACAGCAUGUUGUCUUUGGUGACUGCCUUCUUUUCACCUGGCAUGUUUUUACGGUUCCUUCAUGUUGUAACGGGUGUGAGCACUUCAUGCCUUUUUGCAGCUUAACCACCUUCCGCUGUAUGGUCAUAUGAAGUUUGCUCUCCAUCAGUCAGUUGAUGAAUAUCUAGGUUAUUUGCCCUUUUUGGCCAUUAUAAAUAAUGCCACUGCACACAUUCUGUGGAUGUUUGUUUUUCUCUCUUGGGUAGGUACUUAAGGAUGGAAAUGCUCUCAUAUGGUAACUCCAUUUUUAACAUUUUGAAGCGGUCGCAAACUCUUUUCCAAAGUAGCAGCACCAUUUUACAUUCCUACCGGCAAUGUUGGAAGGGACCCCGUUUCUCCACAUCCUUGCCAACACUUGUUACUGUCUGUGCUUUUUAUUCUCGCCAGUUCAGGGGGGGUAUGAAGCGGUAUCUCAUUGUGGUUUUGCUUUGCAUUUUGCUAAACGGCUAAUGACAUGGAGUAUUUUUUCAUGUAUCCAUUAGUUAUUUGUACGUCUUCUUUGGAGACCUGUGUACUCAGAUCUUGUGCCUGCCUUUAACUUGGUUUGUUUUUUAGGGGCGCCUGGGUGGCUCAGUCGGUUAAGGUCCGACUUCGGCUCAGGGGCACGUGACUCUUGAUCUCAGGGCUGUUGAGUUCAAGCCCCACGUUGGGGGUAGGGAUGACUUAAAAAUAAAAUCUUUAAAACGUUUUUUCAAAA